UACGUAGGGGGCAAGCGUUGUCCGGAUUUAUUGGGCGUAAAGAGCUCGUAGGCGGUUCCGUAAGUCGUGAAGUCAAAUCUCUGGGCUCAACCCAGAAUCGCUUCCGAUACUGCGGUGACUGGAGUCCGGUAGGGGAGUGUGGAAUUCCUGGUGUAGCGGUGAAAUGCGCAGAUAUCAGGAGGAACACCAACAGCGAAGGCAGCACUCUGGGGCCGGUACUGACGCUGAGGAGCGAAAAGCAUGGGGGAGGCGAACAGG
rnacentral:rRNA from 1 species